CCUACGGGAGGCAGCAGUGGGGAAUAUUGCACAAUGGUGGAAACUCUGACGCAGCGACGCCGCGUGAGUGAAGAAGUUUUUCGGUAUGUAAAGCUCUGUUAGCAGGGAAGAAAAUGACGGUACCUGACUAAGCAUCCCCGGCUAACUACGUGCCAGCAGCCGCGGUCUUACGUAGGGGGCAAGCGUUAUCCGGAUUUACUGGGUGUAACGGGAGCGUAGACGGCGGGGCAAGUCUGGAGUGAAAGGCGGGGGCUCAACCCGCGGACUGCUCUGGAAACUGCCAGGCUGGAGUGCAGAAGAGGAAAGUGGAAUUCCUAGUGUAGCGGUGAAAUGCGUAGAUAUUAGGAGGAACACCAGUGGCGAAGGCGGCUUACUGGACUGUAACUGACGUUGAGGCUCGAAAGCGUGGGGAGCAAACAGGAUUAGAUACCCUUGUAGUC
rnacentral:rRNA from 1 species